AUUCAUAAGUAAGCAAAACCAUGCCAAUUUUUUGGUACAUCAAACUUGCGCUCAAACCAAACACACCGGCCUAAAACCGAACAACAUGCUACUAAGUACAUAGUCCUAUAGUCUUAGUUAAACAAAGCUGAAGUGUCAUGAAUCUGCUUGCAAAACUAUGCCUUGUCUCAUAUUUGUAUGUAAAAAAUGUUUCUAGUUAUCUUUGGUUUCCACAUCCUUGGACUCCUGAAUAAGGUAGAGCAUAUUAAUGAAAAAGAAGAAAAAAUCAGGACCAUAUCUGAUUAGACCGGAA
rnacentral:lncRNA from 1 species